rnacentral:rRNA from 1 species
AUGCAGCACCGCUCGCCGGCGGCGGCCACGGCCUCCGGAGCUGCCUCCACUGCGGCCGCCAUGGAGCCAGGCGUCGGCGGCGUCGAGCCUGCGGUGACGCUCGACCAGGUGCCGCGCUGGAGCGACCCCGACCAGCGCCUGUACACACCGUCCUCCUCGUCCGCCACCGCCGAAGCCGCGGACGGCGGAUCCGAGCCCGCAGCGUCCGCCUUCCUCUCCUUCUCCGACCCGCUCACCGGCGACGACGGCGGCGCCGCCGGUGGUGGCUGCGCGGGCGCCUCGCGCUUCCCCGUGGACCACGAGAUCAACUCCAGGAUCUACCUCUGGCGGGGACACCCCUGGAACAUGGAGGUCGACGCCGUCGUCAACUCCACCAACGAGAGCUUGGACGAGGCGCACAGUAGUCCUGGGCUGCACGCUGCAGCAGGUUCUGGGCUCGCGGAGGAAUGCGCCACCUUGGGAGGGUGCCGAACUGGGAUGGCAAAGAUGACCAAUGCAUACGAUCUUCCUGCGAGGAAGGUCAUCCAUACAGUGGGACCCAAAUAUGCUGUCAAGUAUCACACAGCUGCGGAAAAUGCACUUAGUCAUUGCUACCGGUCAUGUUUGGAACUACUCAUUGAGAACGGCCUUGAAAGCAUCGCAAUGGGUUGCAUAUACACGGAAGCUAAAAACUAUCCUCGUGAACCAGCUGCCCAUGUGGCAAUAAGGACUGUUAGACGUUUUCUGGAGAAACAGAAAGGCAAGAUAGCUGGUGUUAUUUUUUGUAUUACAUCAUCAUCUGAUACAGAGAUAUACAAAAGAUUGCUUCCGCUAUAUUUCCCUCGGGACAAGCAAGAGGAAGAGACUGCGGUAUCAAAACUUCCAGCUGAUGUCGGGGAUGAGAAUGGUGAAACUGUAAUAGAUGAAAGGAAAAUAAGAAUAAGACCAUUGCCUGCUGGUGCAGCAGAUAGAACAGUGGCUACAGCUCCUCUUGAUCUUCCUCUUGAGUCUGGAUUGGCAUCAAGCAGGAGUACAUUCAAACUGGAUUCGUAUUUGGACCCUUCAUUUAUGUCAUUAAUUAAAGACCCGGAUCUACGGCGCAAGGAGCAGUGGGGAAAAUCUUCUCAAGCUCAAAAGCGAUUUAAUUAUGCUAGGUUGCUUGGAUAUGGUGAUAUAGGUUUCCCUCCAUUGUCUGCUGCCGAGGAAUAUUCACUUCAUUCACGAUACCUUGCGAAAGCAAAUUCCCUUAAUCUUUCAGAGAUUGCUGAGAUGAAAAUAAUUUAUCGUGGUGGAGUUGAUAGUGAAGGGCGCCCAGUUAUGGUUGUUGUUGGUGCGCACUUUCUUCUUCGCUGCCUGGAUCUUGAACGGUUUGUUCUACAUGUAGUGAAGGAGUUUGAACCUUUGAUUCAGAAGCCAUAUACUAUUGUCUAUCUCCACUCGGCAGCAUCAUUACAACCGCAACCAGAUUUAGGAUUCAUGAAAAGGAUACAACAAAUAUUAGGCCGGAAACAUCAGCGAAACCUUCAUGGGAUUUAUAUACUCCACCCAACCUUGGGGUUGAGAACAGCUAUUCUGGGGAUGCAGCUUUUGAUUGAUGGAGAGGUAUGGAAGAAAGUUGUGUAUGUUGACAGGCUGGUGCAAUUGUUCAGAUAUGUACCACGCGAACAAUUAACUAUCCCAGAUUUUGUAUUUCAGCAUGAUUUGGAGGUGAAUGGUGGUAGAGGCAUGAUUGUGGACCCAAGAACAAAACAUAUCUAUCAGAGACCAUCUGGCUGA